AGCACGGGAGUAGCAAUACAACUGGUGGCGACCGGCGCACGGGUGAGUAACGCGUAUGCAACCUACCUAUCAGAGGGGAAUAACCGGCGAAAGUCGGACUAAUACCGCAUAAAACAGGGGCACCGCAUGGUGAUAUUUGUUAAAGAGAUUCGCUGAUAGAUGGGCAUGCGUUCCAUUAGGUAGUUGGUGAGGUAACGGCUCACCAAGCCGACGAUGGAUAGGGGAACUGAGAGGUUGGUCCCCCACACUGGUACUGAGACACGGACCAGACUCCUACGGGAGGCAGCAGUGAGGAAUAUUGGUCAAUGGGCGGGAGCCUGAACCAGUCAAGUCGCCGUGAAGGAAGAAGGAUCUAUGGUUCGUAAACUUCUUUUGCAGGGGAAUAAAGUGCAGGACGUGUCCUGUUUCGUAUGUACCCUGAGAAUAAGGAUCGGCUAACUUCGUGCCAGCCGCUGC
rnacentral:rRNA from 1 species